GAUGAAGAACGUAGCGAAAUGCGAUAACUAAUGUGAAUUGCAGAAUUCCGUGAAUCAUCGAAUCUUUGAACGCACAUUGCGCCCCUUGGUAUUCCAUGGGGCAUGCCUGUUCGAGCGUCAUUUGUACCUUCAAGCUUUGCUUGGUGUUGGGUGUUUGUCUCGCCUUUGCGUGUAGACUCGCCUUAAAAUAAUUGGCAGCCGGCGUAUUGAUUUCGGAGCGCAGUACAUCUCGCGCUUUGCACUCAUAACGACAGCGUCCAAAAGUACAUUUUACACUCUUGACCUCGGAUCAGGUAGGGAUACCCGCUGAACUUAAGCAUAUCAAUAAGCGGAGGA
rnacentral:misc_RNA from 1 species